GUACCUUCUUGAGUAACUUCUUUUAUUCAUAAAGAGUGUGUGGGUUGUAAACUUUUGAAAUUCUUGCCUGUCACCAAGUGCCUUCUUAUUUCUCUUGUAUUUGAUUGAUAUUUUUCUAGUAGUGAAGAUUUGGUUUAGAUUAUUUUCUUCUUGAGAAGGCUGAGAAUAGCAUUGCAUUAUACUCUGUCCUUUAAAUUGUUGAAUAUCAAAAUUAUCACUAAAAUUAUGUACUUUCACUUGGGUGUGGGUGUUUUUAAUUUUUAUGCAUGUAUUUAAUUGACCUUUCUAUCUAAUAGGUUUUGUGCCUUUCUUCAAUAUGUGAAAAUUAUCUCUUCAGGUUUUUUGUGUUGGCUCUCCUACAUUGUCACUGUUUCUUCCUGAUUGAUAUUUUAUUAGAUCACCACUGACUAUCACACUUUUUGACCAUAAUCUGAAACAAGAACUAUAUACAUUUACAUGCUUUUCAAUAUGCGUAUACAUAGACUAUCUGUCUAUCCCAUUUUGUUUUACCUAUCUGAUCUAUCCCAUUGCAUUUUUUAAAAAAAUGCUACUUGUAGAGCACUAAUUUGAUAUCAUAACCCACUAAAGGACUAGACUUGCAGUUUGAAAAAUAGUAUAUUUGAUCAGUGCUGCUCUUUUAUAUUUCUUAAAUAUACUUUCGUAUUUCUCAGUUCACUUAUUUUGCUAUAUAUGUCAUUUUUAAAACUUUGUUAGUAAAUAAGUCUUAAAUUGGGUCCAGUUUACUAAUUUUCUAAUUCAUUGACUUUUUGCUUUUAUUUCAUUAGUAAUAAAAACUGUUUUUAAGAAGUUUUACUUUCUGGAUACUGUUUUCAGAGCAGCAUACUCUUGUUUUAUGGCUAUAAUUUCCUCUUUGCUUCCCUUUUAAAUUGAGAUAUAUUUCUCAUAAUAAAAAAUUCACCAUUUUAAAGUGUACAGUUCACAGGGUUUUUUUUCCCACUGUACAUUCACUAUUAUGUAAUUAUCAUGUAAUUCUAGAACAUUUCCAUUACCCUAAAAAUAAACCUUGUAUCUAUUAGCAAUCAGUCCCAAUACCUUCUCCCCUCAGCCCCUGGAAACCAAUAAUAUAAUUUCUGUCUCUGUGGGUUUACUUAAUCCAAACAUUUAUAAAUAGAACAAGUGAUAUGUGGCUUUCUGUAUCAGAUGUAUAGUUUCAUCCACUUAAAAUAAUGUUUUCAAGGUUCACCCAGGCUGUAGCAUGUAACAACACUUCAUUCCUUUUUAUGGCUGAAAAAUAUUCCAUUGCAUGGAUAUGCCACCUUUGUUUAUCCAUUCAUCAGUUGGUAGACAUUAAGAUUACCAGUUUUGAGCUGUUAUGAAUAAAGCUAUUAUGAAUAUUUGUACAAAUUUUUAUGUGAACAUAUAUUUUCACUUCUCUUGCGUAUGUAUUUGAGAGUGGAAUUGAUGGGUCAUAUGGUAGCUCUAUGUUUAACUUUUUGAUGAACUGCCAAACUAUUUUCCACAGUUGCCGUUAACAUUUUACAUUCCCACCAGAAAUAUAUGAGUCAUCUAAUUUCUCUACAUCUUCCUCAUCACUUGUUUUCUGUUUUUGUUUGUUGUUUUAGUUUUAGCCAUUUCAGUUGGUCUGAUGUGGUAUUUCAUUGUGGGUUUGAUUUGCAUUUCCCUAACAACUAAUUAUGUUGAAGAUUUUUUAUGUGCUUAGUAGUCACUUGUAUUUCUGUUUUGGAGAAAUGUCUAUUUAGAGCUUUGGGCCAUUUUAAUUGGGUUAUUUAUCUUUUUGUAAUUGAGUUUUAAGUGUUCUUUAUAUAUUCUAUAUACUGGAAUAUAUCUGGUUAUAUAUAUAAUUAUAUAUAUAUCUAUAUAUCUAAUAUAUGUUUUGACAUUCUGUGGGUUGUCUUUGUACUCUAUAGUGUCCUUAGAUGCACAGAGGCCUUAAAUUUUGAUAAAAUCUGUUUUAUCUGUGGUUGCCGGUGCUUUUGAUGUCAUAGCUAAGAAACUGGUCUAAUCCAAGGUCAUGUAGAUUUACACCUAUUUUACUCUGAGUUUUAUAGUUUUAGCUCUUAAAUAUAAGUCCUUGAUUCGUUUUGAGUUAAUUUUAGUAUAUGGUAUGAGGUAUGGGCUCAAAUUCAUUAUUUGCAUGUGGACAUCUAGUUUUUCUAGCUUCCAUUUAUUGUAAGGGCUUUUUCCCCAUUCGUCUUGGUAUCCUUAUUGAAAAUCAAUUGAUCAUGAAUAUAUGGGUUUAUUUCUAGGCUUUCAAUUUUAUUCCAUUGGUCUUUAUAUUUAUCCUGGGCCAGUAGCAUACUCUUUUGAUUACUAUUGCUGUGUAGUAAGUUUUUAAAUUGGGAAGUCUUCCAUCCUUUUCUUGUAAGAUUGUUUUCACAGUCCCUUGAAUUUCCAUAAGUACUUUAAAAUUAGCAUGUUCAUUCACUGUUGCUUCUUGGAUUUUCUGAAGUAUGAGACUAGCUUAAAAUAUUUCAUAAUACAUUUUUAUAUCUAAAUUAUCUUUUUUCUGAUCUUGGUUCUGCUUAUCAGUGCUCGUUUCUCAAUUGUUUGAUCUUCUGUUCAUAUUAGGUGCUCCAGUAUAUAUCUGUUGAAGUAGUGAAUGAAUAAAGAAUUAACUUGAUACGAAUGAAUUGCUGAGUUGGUUUUCUGUGUUCUGAGCUAGAUCAAAAUUCACCCCUCCAGAUUUAUUCCUCACUGAAAUGCCACUAGUGACGCUGAUCAAUGCACAGUCUACACAACUCACGAUUUAUGUACUCCGUCUCAGGCAUAAGUAUUGCAAGAGUUCUCAAGUCAUUUCAUUUGUUUGUUUCUUUGGAUACAGAUAAGGUCUUUGAUGUAUCUUUUUCUCUUCCUCUUUUUUGUCUCUCUUUCAACUUUUCUUUCCCUGUGCUACUUUCCAUUACUACAAUGGUGCUCAAUAAUUUAGACUCAUUAACACUAAUAUUGACUAGCUGGGCAGAAAGAGCAAUCACUGGGUACACAACGGCUUUACUACAUUUUUACAGUUUCACCUGGGUUCACACAAUUAUAUGGUGAUCUUUCCUUUGUCAUGUGGCUUAGGUAAUAGAAAGUCAUCAUAAUACAAGAAUUUAUGAUUGAUAAAAUGAGUUGUUAUAAGAACUGUUCUUGAGAGGAAAAAAGUCAGUGGAAAAUAUAUAAUCUGAGUCUACUUUAAUAAAUGUAAAAGGCAUUUGUCAUUUUCUUGUGUGCUCAUUUCAGCAUAGUCUUUCUAAAGGGGGAAUGCUGUGAAAAUUCUGCCUGCCAUUAUGGAAUCCACAGGUGGAGGACAUCUCAGAUGUAGAUCACUUUAAGAUAAACCCUAAACUUGGUCAGUUGAAUGCCACUCCUAAACCUUUGGAUCUUGAGGAUGUGAGAUGAAGUUAUGCCUAGAGACCAUGAGUGGAAAUAGCUAUGGAAUCAUGAACCUAUGCCUCAAGCAGUGUGUGUUCAUGGAUAGUGGUAUCCAGGGGUACUGUUGCUAUGGUAGGAUCUUGGCUGCUUUUUAGUUCCCAUUACUCCCUGUUCUUUUUUGGAACUUGGCUCUGUGGCAUUCCUGAUGAUUUUCUGAGCUACCCAAUAUCCUUCAAAUAAAUUAUCUUCUAAUAAUACCAAUAUAGUUUCAUUUCUGUGGUUUGCCACAGCUGCUGAUAAAAAAUGAAGAUAAUUCCCUAAAUAAAAGUUAAAUUAAUGACAUUAAAAAUCUUAAAUUAUGAAUGAUGUGUAGGUACUCUUACUUUCCAUAUGUGAUCCCUUGUAUCAUACAUGUAUUUCUGAGUUACUUCUCCCAUAUUUAAUUCACAUAUUUAUUUAAUUCACAUAUUUAUUUUAAAUAUAAUAAGAUUUUUCCCCUCCAUCUGGUUCUCCAGCCAGGUAGUCAAAGGUCACCUGCUUGUAUGGUUUGGCGCUCUUGACUCCUACAUCCUUCCUCUUAGUAAGCAUCUACUUAUCACACUCCUUACACACUCCUCAGCUCUCUCCUUCCUUACACACCAUCAGAGUAUAGCUAUGAUAUAGAGAUUUUUCUCCUCCUUCACUUAAUUUUCCAUGGUAUUCCUGCAAAACAGUUUAUCUCUUUCUGCCACUUAGUUUAUCUCUUUUUUAUAUACCCAUUCCCCAAUUUCCUAUUGUUAUAAUUCUCCUGGAUAGACUCAACUCAAAGCUUAAACCGCUUCAUAUAGGAUAUACCUAGAACAGUAAUUCUUUUUGUUUAAAAUUCGCUGGUAAUAGUUUUCCCCAAUAUUCUAGUGCAAGCUACUAGAAUUUAUUCGAUGUGGUGAUUAGAUUCUAGUUUUGUCCUCAGAUGCCUUAAACUUGUAGGGACAUCCAACAUCACUCAUUUUACAGAGAUGUUUUAUACAUUGCUUUUAUCUUAGAAGAAUCCUGGGAGGCUUCUUUAGUCCCAGACAAGAAAGGAGGAGAGCCAGGCUAUUCCAUGUGCUUUGCUGCUGCUGCUGCUCCUUGUUCCAGGAAAGAGGCCUAUAUCUGCAAGUAGCCAGAGCCAGCUGAAAUUGAGUGGCGUCACCCUCUCACCCCUUUAGGCAGGACAUUAAACCCUCUAGUUUGUCCAAUUUGUACCACUUUCUCCUGUCUCCCAGGAAGCCAGAGGUCAGCUAGAAUACAUCCCACAAGGUCAGCAUGGGUCAUUUCCGUGGUCUGUCUUCCUCCAAAAAAGGUUUUGGGUUGGUGAACUCUGGGCCUAGAUCAUCAGUACCAAAAGGCCUAUUUAUCAUCUGAGUGACUCAGAUUUACUUAUCAACUUCUCUUUUGUCUAGAAACACAAAGCUGGUUACUGCUUCCCUAUCCACUAUGGGUAAGAAUUGUCCAGAAAUUAUUAGGAACAAAGGAAGCUUGGC
rnacentral:lncRNA from 1 species